UGGUUCUCAAUCAGUUCAACAUGAAUGCAUGCCUCAAGCUAUUUUGGGUAUGGAUGUUAUCUGUCAAGAAAAAUCUAGGUGGCACUAACGAGAUAUGCUUUCAUUUCAAAUUUUGUGUAGUCGGUUAUAGUGGCUGAUAUUAUUGGUCCUCUAAUCCAUCUGCUUCAAAAUGCUGAGUUUGAUAUCAAAAAGGAGGCUGCUUGGGCAAUCUCAAAUGCAACUUCUGGGGGAUCCCAUAAGCAUAUCAAGCAGUUGGAUGUGCAAGGGAUGAAAGUUAAAAGCUGGAAUAAUGAGCCUGUUGCUGGACAAGUUGUUGCUCUAAUUUUGUGUCACACGCGAGAGUUGGCGUACCAGUGGUUUGGAGAUGCUGAAAAGCUUACCAAGGCUCUUUUCUGUUUUGCUAGCAAGCUUCCCCCUGUAAGUAUAUUUGUCUAUGAGGUUGACAGUUAGCUUGGUGCCCGAGGUGGUGGCUCUGAACAUGAAGCAACUAGAAUAAUGAGAAAUGAGUUUAUGGCAGCUUGGGAUGGACUGAGGUCGAAAGACAGGCAAAGAAUAUUUGUUCUCGGUGCUACGAAUAAACCAUUUGACCUUGAUGAUGUUGUCAUGCGUUGUUUUCCAAGAAGGUUAGUGAACUAGAUAGAAGUUGGCAAAAGGAAUCCAGGUGCAUCCGCAAGACUAAUCGCCUGCAAAAUUCUCAAACGGCUUUUGUGAAGUUUGUCUAACCGAUAGAAGUGGCGUUUUCUUGCUUCAGUUAGUGUUUUUAUCACCUUGCUUGGUGCUGACUUCAUGAGAAUGGAAUCUUUCAGCAAACUUGAAGAGUUUGCGGAGACUCUAGUUAGUGAACUAGAUAGAAGUUGGAAAAAGGCUUCCAGGUGCAUCCGCAAGACUUAACGCAUGCAAAAUUCUCAAACGUAGGUAGAAGAUAACAGAGAAGAACAUGAAGAGCAUGGAACCCAAGAAGAAGAGGCUGUUGGUGUCGAUGUUGAUUCUAUAGAUGGCGUUAUUCUUUUCAACAGUAAUGAAGCUGAAGAAGAGUGGGAUACAACUAAUGAAGGAACCUUAUCAUCCUAAAAGCAAUUGGUUUGUCUAAAUAGGUCGCAGAUAUGAGCAGUAAGUGCAACUAUUUACAAGGAUGGUUAUGAAGAAACAAGAAGCUAUACUUGUUUGAGCAUGUAGGUAAUGAAUGUUGAUCUUGUCUCCAGUCUUGUGCCUUUAAGAUUGUAUCUACUACUGUUAUUACAUUUCACAUUACAACUGCAACUGCAUAAUUUCUAUGUUCUGAAAACUUAAGAAACGUUUAACAUGCUUGUCAUUUUUUUGAUACUACGCACAGAAUUUGUAUGUCCUUGGAACUUAAGAAAUAUU